rnacentral:rRNA from 1 species
UACGUAGGUGGCAAGCGUUAUCCGGAUUUACUGGGUGUAAAGGGAGCGUAGGUGGCAUGGUAAGCCAGAAGUGAAAACCCAGGGCUCAACUCUGUGGAUUGCUUUUGGAACUAUCAAGCUAGAGUGCUGGAGGGGUAAGCGGAAUUCCUAGUGUAGCGGUGAAAUGCGUAGAUAUUAGGAGGAACACCGGUGGCGAAGGCGGCUUACUGGACAGAAACUGACACUGAGGCUCGAAAGCGUGGGGAGCAAACAGG